CCGGCUCCCUCACGCGUACUGAUGCCGGAGCAGGGAAUAUGACGUCAUUCCGGCUCCGGCAUCAGCGUGGUGUGCGCAAGGGAGCUGU